rnacentral:rRNA from 1 species
CAGCAGCCGCGGUAAUACGGAGGGUGCAAGCGUUAAUCGGAAUUACUGGGCGUAAAGCGCACGCAGGCGGUCUGUCAAGUCGGAUGUGAAAUCCCCGGGCUCAACCUGGGAACUGCAUUCGAAACUGGCAGGCUAGAGUCUUGUAGAGGGGGGUAGAAUUCCAGGUGUAGCGGUGAAAUGCGUAGAGAUCUGGAGGAAUACCGGUGGCGAAGGCGGCCCCCUGGACAAAGACUGACGCUCAGGUGCGAAAGCGUGGGGAGCAAACAGGAUUAGAUACCCGAGUAGUCCCUGUCUCUUAUAC